rnacentral:rRNA from 1 species
UACGGGGGGGGCAAGCGUUGUUCGGAAUUACUGGGCGUAAAGGGCUCGUAGGCGGCCAACUAAGUCGGACGUGAAAUCCCCAGGCUCAACCUGGGAACUGCGUCCGAUACUGGAUGGCUUGAAUUCGGGAGAGGGAUGCAGAAUUCCAGGUGUAGCGGUGAAAUGCGUAGAUAUCAGGAAGAACACCCGUGGCGAAGGCGGCUCUCUGGGACGGUACUGACGCUGAGACGCGAAAGCGUGGGGAGCAAACAGG